AAGGCUGAACCUCCUCACAUGUUGGAGCUUUAAAGAUACAGCUGUAUCAGGCCAGGCAUGGUGACUCAUGCCUGUAAUCCCAGCACUUUGGGAGACCGAGGAGGGAGAUCGAGACCAUCCUGACUAACAUGGUGAAACCCCAUCUCUACUAAAAAUACAAAAAAUUAGCCAGACUUGGUGGUGUACGCCUGUAGUCCCAGCUACUCAGGGGGCUGAGGCAGGAGAAUCGCUUGAACCCAGGAGGUGGAGGUUGCAGUGAGCUGAGAUCACGCCACUGCACUCCAGCUUGGGCGACAGAGCGAGACUCCAUCUAAAAAAUACAGCUGUAUCAAAUCUGCUUGUGCUUUGGCCAUCUGAGAGAUCUUAAGUGUGCAACGCAAUGAGGAUGGAGCAACGUAUACACCAAUCAAGACAAAGAACAUGUCCAUUACCCCAAAAAGUUCUCUUACACCCACUUCCAGGUGAUGCCUCUGGCAACCAUGAGUUUGGCUUGUAGCAUCAAGACUUUACCUGUUCUUGAAUUUCAAUAUAUGGAACCAGGCAGGAGCAUAA